AGAGCUUGCAGUGAGCUGAGAACUGGCCACUGCACUUCAGCCUGGGCAACAGAGCAAGACUCCGUCUCAAAAAAAAAAAAAAAAGACAGAAAGGAUCUGGAUACAUGAUGAGCACUGAAACUUUAUUUAUAAUAGUACGAAUGAGCCUGGUAUGUGCAGAGAAGAACCAGCAGAUCGGUCUGGCUGGAGCGUAUCAUACGAGGGGAGCAUAGUGGGCAAGGGAGCCAAAGAGGAGGCAGGAGCUCGAUCGUUCAUCACGCAGAGUCUUGAAGGCAAGGUCCACAGGGCCUGAAAAUUGCUUCCAGCAACUGACAAGUUCAUCCCCUUCCAACUGGUCUGACAAGCCCUGAGGAAAAAAGACAGUGACACACACCCCCCC